CUUAUCAAGAGUGGUUGAGGGACGGGCCCGAUGAAACCCGGCAACCGGCUGUGCCCGGUGCCAAUUCCCGCGCCGUAAAAGGCGAAAGAUGAGG
rnacentral:ncRNA from 1 species